rnacentral:rRNA from 1 species
AUUGAACGCUGGCGGCAGGCCUAACACAUGCAAGUCGAGCGGGGUUUUCGGACCUAGCGGCGGACGGGUGAGUAAUGCGUAGGAAGCUACCCGAUAGAGGGGGAUACCAGUUGGAAACGACUGUUAAUACCGCAUAAUGUCUACGGACCAAAGUGUGGGACCUUCGGGCCACAUGCUAUCGGAUGCGCCUACGUGGGAUUAGCUAGUUGGUGAGGUAAUGGCUCACCAAGGCGACGAUCUCUAGCUGGUUUGAGAGGAUGAUCAGCCACACUGGAACUGAGACACGGUCCAGACUCCUACGGGAGGCAGCAGUGGGGAAUAUUGGACAAUGGGCGCAAGCCUGAUCCAGCCAUGCCGCGUGUGUGAAGAAGGCCUCGG